GAUGAAGAACGCAGCGAAAUGCGAUAAGUAAUGUGAAUUGCAGAAUUCAGUGAAUCAUCGAAUCUUUGAACGCACAUUGCGCCCGCUAGUAUUCUGGCGGGCAUGCCUGUCCGAGCGUCAUUUCAACCCUCAAGCCCCCGGGCUUGGUGUUGGGGAUCGGCGAGCCUUCGCGCCCGCCGUCCCCUAAAUCUAGUGGCGGUCUCGCUGUAGCUUCCUCUGCGUAGUAGCACACCUCGCACUGGGAAACAGCGCGGCCACGCCGUUAAACCCCCAACUUCUGAACGUUUGACCUCGGAUCAGGUAGGAAUACCCGCUGAACUUAAGCAUAUCAAUAAGCGGAGGA
rnacentral:misc_RNA from 1 species